rnacentral:rRNA from 1 species
AUUGAACGCUGGCGGCAUGCCUUACACAUGCAAGUCGAACGGCAGCACGGGAGCAAUCCUGGUGGCGAGUGGCGAACGGGUGAGUAAUAUAUCGGAACGUGCCCAGUGAUGGGGGAUAGCCCGGCGAAAGCCGGAUUAAUACCGCAUACGACCUACGGGUGAAGGCAGGGGAUCGCAAGACCUUGCGUCAUUGGAGCGGCCGAUAUCAGAUUAGCNGUUGGUGGGGUAAAAGCCUACCAAGGCGACGAUCUGUAGCUGGUCUGAGAGGACGACCAGCCACACUGGGACUGAGACACGGCCCAGACUCCUACGGGAGGCAGCAGUGGGGAAUUUUGGACAAUGGGCGCAAGCCUGAUCCAGCCAUGCCGCGUGCGGGAAGAAGGCC